AAAAUGACUCUCGGCAACGGAUAUCUCGGCUCUCGCAUCGAUGAAGAACGUAGCGAAAUGCGAUACUUGGUGUGAAUUGCAGAAUCCCGUGAACCAUCGAGUCUUUGAACGCAAGUUGCGCCCUAAGCCUUAGGGCUGAGGGCACGUCUGCCUGGGUGUCACGC
rnacentral:rRNA from 1 species